AUACGGAGGAUCCGAGCGUUAUCCGGAUUUAUUGGGUUUAAAGGGAGCGUAGGUGGAUUGUUAAGUCAAUUGUGAAAGUUUGCGGCUCAACCGUAAAAUUGCAGUUGAAACUGGCAGUCUUGAGUACAGUAGAGGUGGGCGGAAUUCGUGGUGUAGCGGUGAAAUGCUUAGAUAUCACGAAGAACUCCGAUUGCGAAGGCAGCUCACUAGACUGUUACUGACACUGAUGCUCGAAAGUGUGGGUAUCAAACAGGAUUAGAUACCCUGGUAGUCCACACAGUAAACGAUGAAUACUCGCUGUUUGCGAUAUACAGUAAGCGGCCAAGCGAAAGCAUUAAGUAUUCCACCUGGGGAGUACGCCGGCAACGGUGAAACUCAAAUGAAUUGACGGGG
rnacentral:rRNA from 1 species